rnacentral:rRNA from 1 species
AACGAACGCUGGCGGCAGGCCUAACACAUGCAAGUCGAGCGCGCCCUUCGGGGUGAGCGGCGGACGGGUGAGUAACGCGUGGGAACGUGCCCUUUUCUACGGAAUAGCCUCGGGAAACUGAGAGUAAUACCGUAUACGCCCUUUGGGGGAAAGAUUUAUCGGAAAAGGAUCGGCCCGCGUUGGAUUAGGUAGUUGGUGGGGUAAUGGCCUACCAAGCCGACGAUCCAUAGCUGGUUUGAGAGGAUGAUCAGCCACACUGGGACUGAGACACGGCCCAGACUCCGACGGGAGGCAGCAGUGGGGAAUCUUAGACAAUGGGGGCAACCCUGAUCUAGCCAUGCCGCGUGAGUGAUGAAGGCCUUAGGGUUGUAAAGCUCUUUCAGCUGGGAAGAUAAGGACGGUACCAGCAGAAGAAGCCCCGGCUAACUCCGU